CAGACACAACCAUACAGCAUGUAGUACAACAUGCUAAUGAGAUCUCAGUGUGUUGCAUCAAUUCGCUGAAAGACCAUUUAACAACAUCUGUCAGAGUGUUGACUGUCCAGCUAAAUUUAGAAUGAUUUUAGAGGCAUCUUUCUGCCCGCAGAACUUACAGUGAAAAAGAAAAUGCUGGCUGCAAAAUACUCAGCUGGGAAGGCUUGAUAUAGCAUACAGUCUUGUUCUAUUCCUUUUUAUUUUAUUUUUUAAAAGAUUUUAUUUAUUUACUCAUGAAAGACACAGAGAUAGAGAGGUAGAGACAUAGACAGAGGAAGAAGCAGGCUCCAUGCAGGGAUCCUGAUGCAGGACUCGAUCCUGGGACUCCAGGAUCAUGCCCUGGGCCAAAAGCAGAUGCUUAACCGCCAAGCCAUCCAAGCAUCCCACUGUCCUAUUCCUUUUUAGAUGAGAUCACUUCUGAUGAUGAAAAAAGGAAAUCUGACCAAUAAGUAAAUAUACAAAAUUUUGAAUCUUCUGGAAGCAACAGGAAGAAACAGACAAAUAGGAGAUGUCAGUGGCAAAAAAGAGAAGGAAGAAGAGGAAGAAAGAAAAGGAAGAAACCUAUUAGAGUGGUUAUAAUAAGAGCUAAAGUUUAUUUGAACACAUGGACAUUCAACCAAGGCUUCGUGACUCAGCUACAGAAAAGAUCGUUUCUGAGUAAGCAGAGAAGCAGAGACAACUAUACACAUCACUGGAGAGGAGUGCAGCUAAGGAGAUGGAUUCAGUCCCAUUGCUGAUGGGAAUCGGAAAUGGGAAAAAAUGGACCUAUAUAGUUCUGGCUAUCCUGCUAUGAACAUGGAGCUUCCCAGGAGAGAGAAUGGUUAGAAGGAUGACAUGAUAUCUGCUGGGUGAACCCACCACCAUGUGACUAGAGGCCUGACAAGCAUCCAUCAUGUACGAAGUUUAAGUAGUUUGUUCACAGGCCAUGAGUUCUUGGACAUUGAUUAGUGGAUGUUGUAGAUAUAUUCUGUUGUUUUUCAGACUAAGCUGAAUCUGGAUAUCCCCUAAUUAGGGAGAUUUUAAGGCUUG
rnacentral:lncRNA from 1 species